CAGCUUAGCGAUCGUUUCAUCGUUUGCCUCCAUUGCCUCUGCCUGCACAAUUGUUUAUCUGCUCCAUUUACUCACACCGACAUUACCUUGUGAAUGAAAACGAGUGACAUUUGACUAAUUAAUCAAAAUGAUUAAAUCUGCGCUAGGGUUGGCAAAAUUUCUCGGAUUACGGGAAAGCGUGUUGGCCGAUGGCCGACUGAUCUCGGCGUUCGUGCGUUUGAGUGCCAUAACCUCAAGGAAGAUUUGCACUACUUCGUUGUGCGACAAGGAGAUUCGAACCGGGAAUGAAAAGGUGAAAGUCGGUACCUCAAAAUAUGGAUUGGUUGAAGGAGAAACUAUGCCCGAGUCAACAGACAUUAGCCAACAAGGACAUCUAUUUCCUGACGCAGAUACGCCGAAUCGACUUUUCAAUGGUGUACCAUACAAGGAAUUGCAUAUUGUCAAUAUAAAAUCAACUCCUAACAAUACACUUAUGACGUUUACGAAUUCUAGUGGAUUGGUAUUAUCACUGCAUACGGCAGGUAUAGAGGGUUUUAAGAAUGCUAAGAAAGGGACAAACCUUGCUGCUCAACAAGCAGCUAUGACUCUUGGCAAUCGUAUUCUUGAAUAUGGUGUGAACACAGUGAGAAUACGAGUACAGGGUAUUGGGCCUGGUAGAAUGUCUUCUAUAAAAGGUCUUCAAAUGACAGGACUGAACAUUGUAUCAAUUACAGAUAGUACCAGAGUAAGUUGGAAUCCUCCAAGGCCACGAAAACAAAAAAGACUGGAGAUGGCGAGAGAGAGAGAGAGAGAGUUGAUAUACUUCCACGCUAUGGGACUUCAACGCUCGCAGGAACUUUGGUGAUUAUGGAAACUUUGGCGCGUGUUUCGUCGCUUCGAUCGUUAUCGUGCUAAGAUUUAUCGAAACUCUUCAAGCUUACCGAUGUAUCUCAGCCUGCGCGCCAUCCAUUUCGAGAGGAAGAUUAAUGGCGCUUUCGGCGAAAAUGCAAUUUACCGAGCAAUCGACACGCUACGAUGAUUCGCCCGGAACGCAAAAACGGCCGGCGAGGUUUCCCGGCUGACGGGUGUGAGAGGGAAAAAAGAUCCGGUCAAUCUGCAUCACGGCGAUAAGACGGAAGAGCACCGAACGCGCUCCACGGGGAUGGUCGAUCGGCCGAAUUGCCCUAGCAUCAGGGGGGAUCAUCGGAAUCGCGUAGUAUCUACUAUUAAAAAAAAGAAGAGUGGAAAGAGGAGCGGGGAAAGGGGAGGGAAAAAUAGAAAUGGGUCGUGCGUAUGUGACAACUAUGCGUCGCGGGGACGCAUUACGCUAUUACGUCGAGUCGCGCGUAAACUCUCGUACAAUUCCCACCGGUGCAUCGUGGCGGUGCACGGUGGCUCGUUUCACGCUCUCGGAACAACCCUGAAUUAACCGUGUUCGUUGUUGCACAAGCGGAUAAUAACGUUGCCGCUGCUAUUGCGCGCACACUCGCGAUACGAAUGAAUGAACUUAUCUGUAUGUUGAUUCGACGCGGAUAUACGCGCGGAGUUUGUUAUUGAAUAAGCGGCCGCCGCGGCACGGUUAGCGCGGGAUCAUAUUCGGUGAGUAUUAUGUUAGGCAUCGUGCCUUGCUGUGCUUAUUUCCUGUGCCGUUGACUCUCGCGUCUACAGUCAAAGAACGCGCAUUGUUCAGCGAAGUCGACAUUGGUAACGAUUGGACUGGUUGCCGGAGUAGAAUGAGUUCAAUGCUAACGUUAAUAGCUAUUGCGCCGUGUACACAUUGUGUUCUUAUAAAUGUUAUAUUAUUAAUAAAAUCAAUAUAAGGCGCAAGAUAUAGAGAAUUAAGAAAAAAAUUUUGCCACUGCUCUUUUACAUUUCUCCAAGCAAGUUAAUAAAUGUUAUUAUAAUAAUGUUACAAUAAUUUAAAUGCAAGACAUGCCACUUAUGUAUACGAGUGAAGAACAUUUCUAUUUAAUCACAAUUAUAUACACACGUAAUAAUAAAAGAUAAUAUAAAAAACAAAAAAAAAA